rnacentral:tRNA from 1 species
UGGGGUAGCUCAGUUGGUUUAGAGCAUCUGUCUGAAGAACAGAGGGUCGCCGGUUCGAAUCCGGCCCCCA